rnacentral:lncRNA from 1 species
AUGUGUUUAAAAGGGUGGACUGUUUAAUUAUCUAUCAAGGAGAGUCGUGUGCAUGUGACACCAGGAUUCGGUCGAAUGAGGUGUGGUGAAACUCUAUCAUGUGGACAAUGAGGUUAUGUGCAUUGUGCCAACUAUGUGAUCUGGUAUAGAUGCGAAUGCUAUAAUUGUGUCUUCGGAGGGAUUGGUGUGCGUGUGGCCUAUGUUGGUCAAGUAGUGAAUCCCGUUUGGAGAACAUAUGCUAUACAAUAUUAUACAGUGGCCAU